GCCAGUGUAGUGUAGUGGUUUGAGUGUUGGGCUAGGACUCUGGAGAUCAGGGUUUGAUUCCCUGUUUGGUCA